rnacentral:piRNA from 1 species
UGAGACAUUUUGGGCUUCCUUCCUGAG